GGGGGUGAACAGGGUUCGACGGGGGUAAUUGAUGUGACGACAGCAGGCCGGAGUUAGUCGAUGGCUCCGUAAAAAUCGACUAAAAAACAAACAACAAUGAACAAAAAUGUUCAAAAGACACCUUGGAUAGUAAGCGUGGAAGCCGUUAUGGUCAAGCAGCAGAAGCAGUGAUAGCAAAGGGGCUUAUUCAGCCCAUGAUGCAUCCUGCGAUGAUGCGUUCUCCUAUGGCUCCGUUAUUUGCUUAGCAUUCAGGACGUCGUGUGGCUGCUUGCAGCAGCUCCGUUUUACUCCAGACACCUGCUAUGGAGAUAAAACGUCAAGAGCAGGUUAGUUUUAAACGAUAUGAUGUCAGUCGGUUAAAAUGAAGUACAAUGGCACCAAUUUGUAAUGCGAUUCUGUCCGGAGACAGCGUUACAAAUUAGAAAAUUUUCGGACUAAGCCUGUAGCGGUCUUACUGAAAUGCUUUCGGACGCGGGUUCGAUUCCCGCCACCUCCACAU
rnacentral:tmRNA from 1 species